AUUGAUUUAUAACUAUACACUCUUAAAAAAGUUCCGGUAAAAUUUACACGAACUGUUCAGGCGAUUUUUUACGCCUGAAACUUCAGGCGAAACAACUGAAUGUUCGAUCGAUGCGUUCUGACGAUGUCUUUUGCCUGAACAGUUCAGGAUUAGUUUAGAUCAACAGUUACAGUUAAUAUAAAUUAUUCCUGAACUUUAGACAAACUGCACGAACCUGUAAAAACCGGAACUUUUAAUCUUAACUUUUUGCUUUUUAAAAGAAUGUGCUCGGUAAUGAUAAAAAAUUUAAACACUCAUGAGUUGAUUAAUCAUUUGAUUUCAAAAGGAAUUUCUGUGGAAACAACUGCUAAAUUGUCAAGUGAAGAUAUUGACGGAGAUGCAUUUUUGCAAAUGAACUCUGUUUUGUUUCAUUGUAUUGGAAUAAAAAUGGGUCAAGCUAUAAAGCUUCAGUCUAUCAUUGCAGCAGAAAAGGUGAAUUUAAUAUUAUAAUGUACUUUUUCACUUGCUUCCAUACAUUCUUCAAGUGCCUUCUAGAAAUAAGGAUCGACCGUCUACAGCUGAAGUUGCAGCUCACUUUAUUCAAAUCUUUCCUGAAACUACAGCUAUGGAGACGAUAAUUGAUGCAAAUAGACAUACCUCUUUCAUGCAUCCAUUUGUUAUUGCACUAGGGGCUCGAGGCAAUUUGAUUCAGUCAUUUAUUUUUAUAGAAGACAAUGUUAUUCCUAUUAGAAAUGGCAUGUUAAGUGCAGUCGACCGUUUUCUGAAACUAUAUUUUGUAAUCGAUAUUAAAUAUGCGAAAGAGUGCAAACAUGUUUUACAUUUUUUGCAAUGUGUAGUUAUGGGUAUUCAUGACGAUUUGCCGUUGUCAAGAGGAGGCAGUGAUCUUUCGUUGUUUGUUAUUGAAAAAUUAAGGAGUGGAUAAACUUUUAAAUGUUUUUAUUUUAAAGGGUACGAAAAUAUAUUAUAUCAAGAAAAUAUCACGUACUUUAUAAACAAUCAUGUUUGUAAUUCUGUUGAAACUUAUAAUAUAAAUUAUAAAAUUGUUUAAUUGAAUAAACAUGAGCUUUUUUUUUUUAA